GCGUGGGGACCUACCUCUUAGUGGGGGAUAACGGUUGGAAACGACCGCUAAUACCGCAUACGCCCUUCGGGGGAAAGAUUUAUCGCUAAGAGAUGGACCCGCGUUGGAUUAGAUAGUUGGUGAGGUAACGGCUCACCAAGUCAGCGAUCCAUAGCUGGUUUGAGAGGAUGAUCAGCCACACUGGGACUGAGACACGGCCCAGACUCCUACGGGAGGCAGCAGUGGGGAAUAUUGGACAAUGGGGGCAACCCUGAUCCAGCCAUGCCGCGUGAGUGAAGAAGGCCUUCGGGUUGUAAAGCUCUUUCAGAUGCGAAGAUGAUGACGGUAACAUCAGAAGAAGCCCCGGCUAAUUUCGUGCCAGCAGCCGCGGUAAUACGAAAGGGGCUAGCGUUGUUCGGAUUUA
rnacentral:rRNA from 1 species